rnacentral:rRNA from 1 species
GACGAACGCUGGCGGCGUGCUUAACACAUGCAAGUCGAACGGUGAAGCGCCUUCCUUUUUGGUGGGUGUGGAUGAGUGGCGAACGGGUGAGUAACACGUGAGUAACUUGCCCCCUUCUUCUGGAUAACCGCAUGAAAGUGUGGCUAAUACGGGAUAUUCUGGGUCUGUCGCAUGAUGGGUCUGGGAAAGAUAUUGUUUCGGUGGGGGAUGGGCUCGCGGCCUAUCAGCUUGUUGGUGGGGUGAUGGCCUACCAAGGCGGUGACGGGUAGCCGGCCUGAGAGGGUGGACGGUCACACUGGGACUGAGACACGGCCCAGACUCCUACGGGAGGCAGCAGUGGGGAAUAUUGCACAAUGGGCGCAAGCCUGAUGCAGCGACGCCGCGUGAGGGAUGGAGGCCUUCGGGUUGUGAACCUCUUUCGCCAGUGAAGCAGGCCUGCCUCGUUUGUGGGUGGGUUGACGGUAGCUGGAUAAGAAGCGCCGGCUAACUACGUG